rnacentral:misc_RNA from 1 species
AAAAAAAAAAAAAAAAAAAACACAUGAUAAAUGAAUAUUGAAAAAGAAGAGCAACAGAGAUAAGGAAACUGGAACUGUUAUAAAUGUGCACAAUCAACCUCCACCACCAUUCAGAUGGUUGGUUGGUGUACCAGAUCCCCACAUUGGUCCCGUUCUUCUUUUCCUCAAAUUUUCUCCGCCUACUAGGUUUUCUUUCUUUAGUUUUUAAUUGGAUUUCAGAGGUGCAGCUGCUAUUUUCUCUGUUCAGUGUCUCCCUUACCCACUUACUGAUUCUGCUUCUUCUGUUUAAAUCUCCCCUCUAAAUCUGCUCCUGCUCGAGGGGAAUUGGAAUUCUUUUGGUAAUUGGGCAUCAUGGAUUUGGAAUUUUUGCAAACACUUGAUGUUCAGAUUCUUGUGGGUGUAGCUGUCGCUGUUUUGGCCAUUGUUAUGGGUGCUGUCUUCCUCUUUUCCUCCAAAAAACCAAAAGACUGUUUAGAUCCUGAGAAUUUCAAGGAUUUUAAACUUGUCAAGCGCGUUCAGCUCAGCCAUAAUGUGGCGAAGUUUAAAUUUGCACUUCCUACACCUACGUCAGUCUUGGGCCUUCCAAUUGGACAACACAUAAGCUGCAGGGGCAAGGAUAAUCAAGGCGAAGAGGUUAUUAAACCAUAUACUCCGACGACUCUUGAUUCUGAUGUUGGACAUUUUGAAUUAGUUAUUAAGAUGUAUCCGCAAGGAAGGAUGUCCCAUCACUUCAGAGAGAUGCGUGUUGGUGAUUAUCUUUCCGUUAAGGGACCCAAGGGUCGUUUUAGGUAUCAACCUGGCCAGGUUAGAGCAUUUGGAAUGCUUGCUGGAGGCUCAGGCAUUACUCCAAUGUUCCAAGUUACUAGAGCAAUAUUGGAAAACCCGAAGGACAAGACAAAGGUACACCUCAUUUAUGCCAAUGUUACAUACGAGGACAUUCUUUUGAAGGAAGAAUUGGAUGGCCUUGCUGCUAGUUACCCUGAUCGCUUCAAGGUCUACUAUGUUUUGAACCAGGUUAGUUCCUUUCACAACAGCUGCUUCUUGUUUACCCUGUUUAUUUUACUUCUGUCUUCUCCUUCUUCUCUAAUAAACUUGUUUUAGGUAGGUUGUCUGAGAAAUAAAUAGUAUUCUAGUGCCUUGUCCAGGUUAGCUACAUCAAUGCAAAUUUCUCUGAUUUUAUGGUGCAAACUGGAUCUUGCCAUUCAGUUGAGCUGGUUAAAAUGUUCUUAAGUGUAACCAUUUAAAAAAAAUAUGUUGAAUGUGUACAUUGAAAAUUAUGACAAAAAUGGAAGGAAUAAUUAUUGCUGCUUAGUAAUUUAGUAACUCAUCAUCAUGAUUGGAUAAGUUUGAAAAUGCAUCGGUGGUUAGGCAAGGGCAUAUUUGGUGGGCCUUGCUUUUGUACUGCCAAUUAUCUGAUCCAUGUGUAGCAUGAUUUUGGUUAAGUUAGAUUUUACAUCUUUCUCUGAUGCAUGCAUAAUAUAUUGUAAUUGAGUUAUAGAUGUUGAAAUCAUUUUAUAACCAAUGGCCAUCUGAUUAACAAAACCCCUGUUGACCAAUAUCUUCUUGUCAGCCUCCUGAAGUAUGGGAUGGUGGUGUUGGCUUUGUAUCCAAGGAAAUGAUUGAAAAGCACUGUCCUGCACCAGCCGCCGAUAUCCAGAUUCUGCGAUGUGGGCCACCACCUAUGAACAAGGCCAUGGCUGCUCACCUUGAGGCUCUUGGCUACGCACCUGAGAUGCAGUUCCAGUUCUGAUCCUUCGCAAGUUCUUGACCCUCUCUUUUUCAUUUUUAACACUUGCAUGGCCUCAAUGAAAGACUUCACUGCUCUUUAUUUUGGUUCCUUCUCUCUGAAUUAAUCUGUCUAGCAGUAAGGCAACUAGUGUAAACUUCCAGUGCUUUUAAUUUUUGAGAAAAUUUUCCAUGAAUUUCUUUGACAUGCAAUGGUGCCUUACGUUGAAUUAUAAUCCAAAUCUAAUUAUAGAUCAGAUAAGAAAAUUAGUUGAUCGAGGAAGCCGGGGGAUUUUAAUAAUAAUAGUAAGUUAAGUCUAGGCUAUUCAAAACAUAAAAUGCGUGUUUUUUUUUUAAUGGAC